GUAGGUGGCAAGCGUUGUCCGGGAAUUAUUGGGGCGUAAAGCGCGCGCAGGCGGUUCUUUAAGUCUGAUGUGAAAGCCCACGGGCUCAACCGUGGAGGGUCAUUGGAAACUGGAGAACUUGAGUACAGAAGAGGAAAGCGGAAUUCCACGUGUAGCGGUGAAAUGCGUAGAGAUGUGGAGGAACACCAGUGGCGAAGGCGGCUUUCUGGUCUGUAACUGACGCUGAGGCGCGAAAGCGUGGGGAGCAAACAGGAUUAGAUACCCUGGUAGUCCACGCCGUAAACGGUGAGUGCUAAGUGUUAGGGGGGUUUCCGCCCCUUAGUGCUGCAGCUAUCGCAUUAAGCACUCCGCCUGGGGAGUACGGCCGCAAAGGCUG
rnacentral:rRNA from 1 species